rnacentral:rRNA from 1 species
UACGUAGGGUGCAAGCGUUGUCCGGAAUUAUUGGGCGUAAAGAGCUCGUAGGCGGUCUGUCGCGUCGGCUGUGAAAACUCGGGGCUCGACUCCGAGCUUGCAGUCGAUACGGGCAGGCUAGAGUUCGGCAGGGGAGACUGGAAUUCCUGGUGUAGCGGUGAAAUGCGCAGAUAUCGGGAGGAACACCGGUGGCGAAGGCGGUUCUCUGGGCCUGUUCUGACGCUGAGGAGCGAAAGCGUGGGGAGCAAACAGG